rnacentral:lncRNA from 1 species
UUUUUAUUUUUAUUUAUUUUUGUUUGUUUAUUUAAUUUUAAACUAAGGGUAUUAGGGAUAUUUUACCCUUUAAUGAAUGUCAUUUUUGUGACUUUCUCCUUCUAGUGCUAUUUUUGAGACAUAAACUUCAAAAUGUGCUAUUAUUGACAAUUGCCCUAAAAAGAACUAAGAGAAGAAGCAAAAAAAUUGAUGAAAAUAAGAAAACAUGUUUUCCUGCAACAAAUUUUUUUAAAAAAAAAGGAA